AUGCACCACACGGACACGCCGGUUGCUGCGCGCGGUCCAUGUUCACCUGGCGUCCGCGUGUUUCGUGUUGCCAACC
rnacentral:sRNA from 1 species